rfam:Veillonellaceae bacterium DNF00626 genomic scaffold Scaffold48, whole genome shotgun sequence.
UGUGAACAGGUCUGUGGUUGAAAGUCGAAGCCAGUCGCAGGCAAAACGAUCCACGUAAGGUAUACAAAGGUGUACUGAGCAUGGUGCGGCUUAGAAGUAAGUCCUGCCGAGAAAAUCGAGAGAGUGAGUUGUGAGAGGUAAAUACCGGGUAGCUAAAAUUCCAGCAGGCGAGUGUGGGGUCAAAAACCAGGUCAGCUGUUUAUA